rnacentral:rRNA from 1 species
UAUUUGGUCGUAGACCCGAAACCAGGUGAUCUACCCUUGGUCAGGUUGAAGUUCAGGUAACACUGAAUGGAGGACCGAACCGACUUACGUUGAAAAGUGAGCGGAUGAACUGAGGGUAGCGGAGAAAUUCCAAUCGAACCUGGAGAUAGCUGGUUCUCUCCGAAAUAGCUUUAGGGCUAGCCUCAAGUGAUGAUUAUUGGAGGUAGAGCACUGUUUGGACGAGGGGCCCCUCUCGGGUUACCGAAUUCAGACAAACUCCGAAUGCCAAUUAAUUUAACUUGGGAGUCAGAACAUGGGUGAUAAGGUCCGUGUUCGAAAGGGAAACAGCCCAGACCACCAGCUAAGGUCCCAAAAUAUAUGUUAAGUGGAAAAGGAUGUGGCGUUGCCCAGACAACUAGGAUGUUGGCUUAGAAGCAGCCAUCAUUUAAAGAGUGCGUAAUAGCUCACUAGUCGAGUGACACUGCGCCGAAAAUGUACCGGGGCUAAACAUAUUACCGAAGCUGUGGAUUGUCCUUUGGACAAUGGUAGGAGAGCGUUCUAAGGGCGUUGAAGCAUGAUCGUAAGGACAUGUGGAGCGCUUAGAAGUGAGAAUGCCGGUGUGAGUAGCGAAAGACGGGUGAGAAUCCCGUCCACCGAUUGACUAAGGUUUCCAGAGGAAGGCUCGUCCGCUCUGGGUUAGUCGGGUCCUAAGCUGAGGCCGACAGGCGUAGGCGAUGGAUAACAGGUUGAUAUUCCUGUACCACCUAUAAUCGUUUUAAUCGAUGGGGGGACGCAGUAGGAUAGGCGAAGCGUGCGAUUGGAUUGCACGUCUAAGCAGUAAGGCUGAGUAUUAGGCAAAUCCGGUACUCGUUAAGGCUGAGCUGUGAUGGGGAGAAGACAUUGUGUCUUCGAGUCGUUGAUUUCACACUGCCGAGAAAAGCCUCUAGAUAGAAAAUAGGUGCCCGUACCGCAAACCGACACAGGUAGUCAAGAUGAGAAUUCUAAGGUGAGCGAGCGAACUCUCGUUAAGGAACUCGGCAAAAUGACCCCGUAACUUCGGGAGAAGGGGUGCUCUUUAGGGUUAACGCCCAGAAGAGCCGCAGUGAAUAGGCCCAAGCGACUGUUUAUCAAAAACACAGGUCUCUGCUAAACCGUAAGGUGAUGUAUAGGGGCUGACGCCUGCCCGGUGCUGGAAGGUUAAGAGGAGUGGUUAGCUUCUGCGAAGCUACGAAUCGAAGCCCCAGUAAACGGCGGCCGUAACUAUAACGGUCCUAAGGUAGCGAAAUUCCUUGUCGGGUAAGUUCCGACCCGCACGAAAGGCGUAACGAUUUGGGCACUGUCUCAACGAGAGACUCGGUGAAAUCAUAGUACCUGUGAAGAUGCAGGUUACCCGCGACAGGACGGAAAGACCCCGUGGAGCUUUACUGUAGCCUGAUAUUGAAAUUCGGCACAGCUUGUACAGGAUAGGUAGGAGCCUUUGAAACGUGAGCGCUAGCUUACGUGGAGGCGCUGGUGGGAUACUACCCUAGCUGUGUUGGCUUUCUAACCCGCACCACUUAUCGUGGUGGGAGACAGUGUCAGGCGGGCAGUUUGACUGGGGCGGUCGCCUCCUAAAAGGUAACGGAGGCGCUCAAAGGUUCCCUCAGAAUGGUUGGAAAUCAUUCAUAGAGUGUAAAGGCAUAAGGGAGCUUGACUGCGAGACCUACAAGUCGAG